CNGAAUGGGCCUUGUGACUUCAGUGCUGA
rnacentral:piRNA from 1 species